rnacentral:rRNA from 1 species
GAUGAACGCUGGCGGCGUGCCUAAUACAUGCAAGUCGAGCGAACGGACGAGAAGCUUGCUUUUCUGACGUUAGCGGCGGACGGGUGAGUAACACGUGGAUAACCUACCUAUAAGACUGGGAUAACUUCGGGAAACCGGAGCUAAUACCGGAUAAUAUUUUGAACCGCAUGGUUCAAUAGUGAAAGACGGUUUUGCUGUCACUUAUAGAUGGAUCCGCGCUGCAUUAGCUAGUUGGUAAGGUAACGGCUUACCAAGGCAACGAUGCAUAGCCGACCUGAGAGGGUGAUCGGCCACACUGGAACUGAGACACGGUCCAGACUCCUACGGGAGGCAGCAGUAGGGAAUCUUCCGCAAUGGGCGAAAGCCUGACGGAGCAACGCCGCGUGAGUGAUGAAGGUCUUCGGAUCGUAAAACUCUGUUAUUAGGGAAGAACAUAUGUGUAAGUAACUGUGCACAUCUUGACGGUACCUAAUCAGAAAGCCACGGCUAACUACGUG